CCUAUAUGGCAGUAAGAUCAGCAUUUCUAUUCAGGUAGCAGGGAGAGAGUUACUUGACUUCAUGGCUGAUUAUAAUCUACCUGAUUCCUUCCAAAUUCUUCAUGCCACAGGAGUUAACAAUCCUGUCUGUCCUUUUUAAUGGUCCUGAUGUUCCACUAAUCAAGCUGCCUUUCUUCUGCAGUUCUGUCUGUUAGCUGCUCCUGUUACUGUAACUCCUGUUUCCCUGCCAUGUAGAGUGUUUUUAAGUAGUCAAAAACAUUAACUUAGGUGUGGAAACGUUAAAUGAGGAAAACUUUAACUCUAGUGUGGAAAUAACUUUCAGUGAAGCAUUGGAUGAUGCACUGUCAAGAUGCUCAAAAAAGCUAUUUUUUUUUGUUUAUGAAUCUGAAAAAGAUAUUUAAUUCUAAAGACUGCAGGACUAGUGAAACAUAUUUUGAUUAUUUUUUGCCUUGUUGUGUUUACUGUAAGUGAUCAUACAGCAAAUCGGUAUAUAUUCCAAUAAACAAGUUUAAAGAUAUACUUGUUUUUGUUCUACUCUUAAACUGAAUAAUACAUCCAUAGGCCUUUAGCAUAUUAGUCAAGCUUCUAGUUUAUUUUUAACUGGAUAAAAAUGUGUGUUUUGUUAUAUGUAAUGAUGCACCAUACCAUCUGCACUCCGCUUUUCAAAAUCCUAGAUCCACCCAUGUAGCCAUCCAGCAGUAUCAUGCCACCACCCUGGAAGAGUUUCUGACUAAGAUCUGUAUCUUCUGUCUUGUGGAACAAUGACCCUGGAAUUCGAGCUGCUGGAAUAAGACAAUGACCUCUACUACCAGAUGAAAGAAAAGGGGAAGACCUGCAAGCAGCCUGUACCAGUGGGGAAAAUGGAAGAGUUGCUUUCAAUACAAUUUUCACUCUUUAUAAAUGAAGACACCUCUGUGGUUCCCCAAAUGCAAGCUAUUAAACAAGAUAGCGCAAGAGGAACCUGAAGAUGUGAUGAGACCCUGAGUAAGGUGCAUCCUUUCAGUACUUAAAAGUGAACAUAUUUGGUGGGUUUUUAAAUUUAUUACUGGUACUAUGAUGAAUACUGACUAUCGCAAGAUUGUUUUGUCCUUAUCAGGUUACUUCAGUACAGUGACAAAAUAAUUCUAUUGUACUUUUACCCUGUAAGUGUAUUUAUACUUUCUUUUCCUGCCUCUCCCUGUUUUGUAACUUACGUAAUGGAGAAAGGUAGUAAUAUUUUGGAAUGUGAAAGAAAUAGAUCGUUUAUAGAGAUGGAAUGACA
rnacentral:lncRNA from 1 species